rnacentral:misc_RNA from 1 species
UUUUUUGCAAUUGAAAACAAAAUGUAAAUAUAAUUUUUUAGGACUAUUUUGACAUAGAUAAAAUUUCAAAUUAUCUAUUUAACAUGGAAAAAGUUUCAAGUUCCAAAAUCACAGGUACAAUGAAGUGAUGGAACAAGUAAACAAGCCAAGAUUGGAUUUUCAACUGAUAUGAAAGCAAAUGGACCACAUUGUAGAAGAAGAAACACCCUUACCAGUUACCACUAACUUUUAAAAAAUCUUACCAAGAACAACAAUCACUCUUUUGUGGGCCAUUUGCUCCUAAUAAGAUGAGAAAAUUAGGCUGCUGCUGCCAUAUAUGCUGGGUCCACCAAGAAAAGAAAGAAGACAUUUUCUCAAUCAGGGAGGAGAGACCUGCUGGGGAAUCAUUAACUUGAACAAAGUUAUAAAUGAUAUUAAAUGCAAAAAAGAAAGGGAAAAAUUAUAAGAAUUGAAGAGUAAAAGAGAGAGAACAAUUAGUAGAGAGGAAGGGAUAAGCAUGGGGAAGUAAUUUGAGGGCCCUUGUCAUGUUGUUGGGGGUCACUGUUAUACAUACCUGUCUGUCUCUUGAAACUAUAGUGCUUUGUUUUUAAACUACCUAAAGAAUAUUUUUUUCCACCUUCCAAUACCAUCCAACACUUAAGAGAAUGUCAUUGGUUAGAACAGAUUAAAAAAAUAGUCAAAAAGCUCAUCAUCUCUUAUCUGAGAUUCUGUUCUUGUGGUGGUGCGUGAUUGGGAACCAAAAAGAUUAUCUAAAGCUGCUUUCUUCCUAAUUGUUUCAGAGCAUCUUCACAGAGAUGUAUGCAAUGAAUGUUCACUUCUUCACUGACCCAUAAACAAAAGCAACAUGAACAGCAAUAUCAUAGCAAUGAAAACAGAGGGGGGAAAAAGGGUAAAAAGACAAUUUGGAAAAAAAAUUAAACAAGAAAAAGUAACUUUGGCUUUGCUUCAUGGGAGAGGACUGAAAACAGUAUCUGCAACCUCUCUCCACUUCAGUUCUCACUUCUCAGUUAAGGUCUAGAAUAAAUGGCUUUGGAUUAAGGUUGAAAAGGGAAUAAAGGGAGGCAUUGUGGAGAGUUUCUAUAAAAAAAAAAAAAAGAGAAAUAAAAAGUAGAUUAUGAUCAUUAAUGAAAAAGAGAUUGACAGAAAAAAUUGUGUAAAGACUAAUAAUAGAUAUCAGCCUUUUGACAAACAGACAAAGUUAGGAGAAGCUAAAAGCUCUUAAUCUCUUUUUUGAGGUGGUAUCAGGAAAGGCCUAAUUUUUAUCCAAAUCCAAAAGAUAAAGAACUAUGUGUCAUGCACAGAUCAAUUCUGUAGACACAGAAAAUAAAGUGAAUUUAAAUUUCUAAAGGAUAGAAGAAAAAGGAGCUUAAAAAAGGUCUCUAAAUUUGCAUUGACCACUGUGAAGAACAAGAGCAAGAAGAAGAAAAUAUUAGAUAGCACAAACAUGCUUGAUUUCAAUUAGAUCAACGGCUACACAGUUACAAUUGGACAGAAAUUUUGGCCAAUUAUUUCUGUAAGAAGAAAUGCAAGGACAAGAAAGAAGAAGUGGAUACAGAUAGAAACAGUUCAGCGAUACAAAAAAAAAGUUACAAAAUCUAAUAAUCAUGUUCUACUACCUAAAGGCAAAUGUGAAAUUCUUCUUUCCCCACCUUGCAAAGAAUGAAGAAAAGAAAACAUGACUUUCUUUCUACGCAGGCCUAUUUCUCUUGUGACCAGCUUUGCCAUCAGAUUUCAAAGCCCCACUAGAAUCCCCCUCGGAGGAACCUUCCAUGGAUUUGGUGAAGGAGCUGGAAAGAUCAGCAUAAAGGUCAACCACUCUCCUGAUAUUAUUGUUGAGCUCCCUAAUCAGACCCACAUUUCUGCUUAGGUUGUCAGGGAUCUUAGAUUCAUGGUUCUGGUUUAUCUCAUUGAUGAGCAGCCUAUUUUGAUCCAAGAUGUUUUGAACCUGAACAAAGUUCUUCUGAAAUGUCUGUAAGAUCUUGCCAUCAAUCUGGGUACCAUUGCCAAGUCCUGAAAAUGUGUCACCCUCCAUUCUUCCUAUGUAUUACUCCUCUCUUUCUGGGGGAGUCAGAAUUCUAUCAAAUCAGAACCAGUCCUUGAAAAUCUGGAACAUUAUAUUCUGGAAAAGAAGACACAGAUUGAAAACGAGGGAUUCCCGAGGAAGAGUGGAAAAGAUCGCCGAUUCUUUAUCAACUGAAUCUCCAAAACAAGGUCCCUCCCGUGAAUUACGAGAAUUUACAGGGAAUGGAGAGAGAGAAAAGAGGGAGAGUUUGUAGAGAGAGAAAGAAACUAAGAGGAAGAGCAAGGGGGAGAGAGAAAGAGAUGGGAGGGGUGACAUCGUCCAUGGCGGCGAAAUUUGCCUUCUUUCCACCA